UGCAGCCCUGGCGGUCGCAGAAGUAGGGCUGUCGCCGGUCAUCAACAAUCCAAAUGAGCUCCUACGACCCACAGGAUACGGCUUCUGAGCAGGAGGAAACCGUCGCGCUGAAAGGCCACUUCUACGGCGUCUAUUUGCUAUGCAGUCAGAGCUUGGAUCCUCGUUACCGGGGAAAGUGCUACGUUGGCUUCACCGUAAACCCGAAACGGCGGAUACGCCAACACAAUCUUGGUUGUGACUUCGGCGGCGCGAGGAAAACAAGCCGCAAAGGGCCGUGGUUAAUGAUAAUGAUCGUGCACGGAUUUCCGAAUAAUACAGUGGCACUCCAGUUUGAAUGGGCUUGGCAACAGCCCUCGCUUUCUACCAGAUUAAAAAUGUUCCCUGAAUUAAAACGAAAGUUGGCCAAGGAGACGUUUUUUGACUACAACUUUAGAAUCCUCGGUUAUAUGCUGGGUGUUAGCCCUUGGAAUAGAUUACCACUCUCCGUUCGCUGGCUAGAAAUAGAUUAUGAAAGACCAUUUAUCAUGCCAUUUCCUAACCAUAUGGAGAUUGUGAGUGGAAAGGUUUCCAUUAGCGCCUUGCAACGUAAGAGAUCUUAUGAUGCAGUAGCUCCUCCACUUGAGGCGUGGGCUUCCGAGUGUCACCUUUGUAUGCAGCAAAUCGUGCAACCGGAGAGAUCACGCCUGGGAUGCACAAAUCAAAAAUGUCGUCUAACAUGCCAUAUGAUGUGCCUGGCCAAUUACCUUCUGGGCGACGAUCCAGGACAUUACAUCCCAGUUGGAGGUGAGUGUCCGCUUUGUGGGAACCGUCUCAGCUGGGCAGCCCUUCUGCAGCGUCAACGUCUUCUGUCGGGCGUACUUGAGGAACGGCAGGAUCAUGAGGAGGUUUGGAUCGACGAUAUUGAUGUGCACUGUAAUAUUGAAGAAGCCCCGGAGUUCUGCGAUUAGUUGAGGACCCGAAUGCUUUUACUCACAAAUGCUAAAAGCUAAAACGUAUCUAGGAAAACACCGUUUUAAUGCGCUCUUAGAGAGAUUUCUUUAAGGUUUAGUAUACGCGAUAGUAACCAUUUAUCAAGUCACUACUUAGAGGAAC